CCCCUGGGGAGAAAAAAGUACCUAGUUACUCUUUGAAAGUGUAUUCAUUUGCCUGGAACUUCACAACGUAACUAAUAAGAAAGGGAAUGCUGCUGUAAUAAGUAAAUUUAAUACCAUUUAAAGCUUUAUAAUCUUAAAUGUUUACAUUUUAGGGAAUGGUUAAAACUAUGUUACUUUAUACAACAUUUUAAAAUUAAAGUUUACAAUUUGAAACCACAAAAGUAUCCAAGUAUAGAAAAAAAUAUAUGCAAGCAUAACAUAGUAAAACACACAGACACACAUAAGCAGGCAACACUAUGGCUGAGUAUUUAGACUGUACUAUAAUCACCUGAGAGUCAACAUGGUAUAGUAAUGGUUUGUGUAAUUUACUACAAGUAUGGGUUUUAAUUUCCCCUCAACCAUGGAAAUCCAUUGGGUGACUUUGGGCAAGUCACUCUCUCUCAGCCUCAGAGGAAGGCAAACUUCCUCAGGACAAAUUAUGCCAAGACAACCUAAGAAUAUGGUUACCUUAGGGCUGGAAACAACUUGAAGGCAGAGCAAUCAUGCCUCAGAUAUAAGCUAAGAAGAAACACUGACAGAAUGAGGCCAGGAGCAAUGCUUGUAACCAAUGGUUACCUCAAGACUUCCAAAAGGUUGAAGCUUCAGUAUUAGUUUGGAACAAAUCUUCACCAGAUGUCAUCUAUGCUGUUUUCAAGCCUGACAUUAGAUGCAAUCUUUGAUUCUGAUUUCCCAACUGUAUUAACCAGAUUUUGAGCUUGAAGCAGCCCUUUUCAGCAACCACUAUUUGAAACUUCGUGUUAUUUUCAUUUUAAAAUCCAAUUUUGUACCCAAUAGGUUUUUAAAAAUACCAUUCUUAAGGGUUUUUUUUACUAGUGUGAUGUCAUGAUGUGUUUAGACAUACUCUGAAAUUCUCUUGAUCAUGAAGAUAUACUUCCUGCCUUGCAAGGAGUCUCUUUUUUUGUUUUAAACCAGGAUUUCUGUAUAUGAUAGGGAUGGGAGAGAAAUAGCUGGUGGAUUUUGCUUUGAAAAUGUUUUGAAUUAGAGGGAAUAACAAAGAACGUUAUAUUUAUUUUGUGCAAGUUGUCAUUUGAAUACAGAUCUAGACACGUUUCAUUAUUUUCUGAAUGUAUAUUUUCUGAUUGUAUAUUAGACUGUUCUUGCCAAACAAUUAAUAAAAAUAAUUAAACAACUACCAUUUAAAAACACAACACUGUAAUUAUAAAAGUCUUUUAUGAAAACAAAGAUGCGGUUGCAUUUAACACUGAAGAUGGCUGCAUCUCAUUUAUUGCCCAGAAGACUUCAUCUCAGAUUUUUAAAAUGGUUGAUGUUGAAGAUACUAGGGUAUAGUAACUGAAGCAACUCAGGGAACAAUGGAAUUUUACUGGAGAGUAUGACUCUGCUGCUAUAUUGUGUGCCUCAAACAUUUUGGCACACGUGCCUACACUUCGUCUAGGAAUGUGAGCUACUAAGGCUGCAGCAGACAAGGAGAAAAUAACCUUGAUGAUUUUGCACUGAAAUCCUUAAUUGAAAUGGACAAAUACAGACAUUAGACUUGUAAAUUAAGUACUCUAAAAUCUAAAUCUAGCCAUGCCUCCCUACCUUUUGCUAAACAAACAUGACUAUCCUUUUAAUUUUGUCUACCUGUAGACCACUCUUCCCAAGUACUCUACUCUUUGUGAGUCUGUGGAUGGAUCUGCAAUGUAAAAUGAAUGCAGUUUAACACUGCUUUAACUGCCAUGGUUCAAAGCUAUGGAAUCAUGGGAGUAGUUUGGUAAGGUACCAGCACUGUUUGUCAAAGAAGGUUAAAGACCGUACAAAACUACAAAUGUAAGCUGUGACAGUUAUAGCAGUUUCAAACUGCAUCCACUCCACUAUGUAAAUCAGGGGUCCCCAAACUAAGGCCUACAAGCUGGACACAGCCCUUCAAGUUCAUUUAACCCCCCCCCCCCCCCGUAAACUUGAGACUUCGGGAGGCUCAAAUCUGAAACGAACUGAAGACACACAACAACAACAAUCCUAAUUAACUUGGCUAUCUCAUCAGCCAAAAGCAGGCACACACUUCCCAUUCAAAUACUGGUUAGUUUAUGUUGGUUAAAAUUGUUCUUCAUUUUAAUUAAUGUAUUGUUCUAUAUUUAUUUUGGAAUUAGUUUAUUGGAAUUAGUUUAUGGUUUUUUCAAACUAUAGCCUGCCCCCCCCCCCCAACAGUCUGAGGGACCAUGAACUGGUCCUCCACUUAAAAAGUUUGAAGACCCCUGGUGUAGAUGCACCCUGAGUUUCACAUAGUCACACUUUAUGAUACUUUUGCCAGCUGACAAUCUUGUCAAGUAGGAUUUCUAUCUUCUAGCUGAAUGCCUUUUCUUGCAGUUCUAAAGUCCUAUUUUCCUAUUGAAUCCAGAAGAAAUGUUUAUGUGAUCAAAUCAAUCUGCUCCAUUUAUUUGAGUAAAUUCCACCCAUGGUAAAGCCAACAACUGACUGAAUCAUCUUCUCAUUUUUUAAAGUAUGUUGUGCAACAUGAAAAUAACUACAGAGUGGUCCAAAAAUAUUUUGGAGGACACAUGAAAAGCUUCAAUGGUGGAAGUGGUAUAAUCUCCUCGCUACAUUAUCUUUUUGCAAAUCUGACAUCAGCUCACAAGCCCUUUAUCAACUGAAGAUGAUUUCUGAGAAUCAUCAAUAUUCAGUAUUACUUUUGGCCAAUCACUCACAUCUGUUUUCUUACUGUAUCUCCAUUAUAUAUUCUCAACCAGAAGGCUGCAAAAUUAUCAAUGAAAAUGUAACCAAACAUUUUUCUGACAACAUUUUCUAAUGAAUGCAUUAACCCUUUUCUUCAUGCUACGUAAUUGUUCCAGUAUUCAUAUUUUAAAGAGGAAAAUUUGUUUUAUUAUCACUUGUUGUGUAUUCUUAAAUUGAGAGCCACUAUACUUUAUAAGGUAAAGUUCCUGGCAUUGUUUUUGUUUGUUUUGUAGUAAAGUGUGUGUCUAAAUUUAUAACAACAGUUGAGUGACAGGAAAAAUCUGCCCAGGCAAUUCAUGACCCACAUUUUAUCUGUAUUUAAUCCAUCUUUGUCCCUUUUGAGACAUCAGCCUCCUUCUUUUGGAUCAGAGUUCUUGUGUGGUCUUUGGUUUAACUUUCGAGACAUGCAUAGGAGGUCAAUUGCUUGUGAUGACAACCUCAGGCUUUUGUUUGAUAUAAAUAAUCAAAUAUGUAGGAAUCUGACAGGAGUUAAAGGAGGGGAAGGAGAAGCCAAAGAAAUUCUCCAGUUAGGACAGCUGAGUCUCUGAAAGAAGCUCUAACUUGGUAUUAUACAACUAGCAGUCUAGAGGCCAAAUCCAAUUAUGAAUGACAUCCACUUGGCCUAUCAUGUACUUUGGCCAUAUAUGAUAUAGAAACUGGCUUAUGUUUCUAGCAUUUUCUCUAACCAUGUCGGUGCUUUCAGUACAAAAAAAAUUGAGGCAUUCUAGAUUAGCUCAUGCUCAAAACCUGAACAUAAGCAAUAAGAUAUGAUGCACGGAAUUAAUUUUAUUUUACUGAUGGAUUAUAGCAGGAAUAGGAGCCCCGGUGGCUCAGCGGGUUAAACCCUUGUGCCGGCAGGACUUCUGACUGACAGGUCGGAGGUUUGUAUCUGGGGAGAGUGGGUGAGCCCCCUCUGUCAGCUCUAGCUCCCCAUGCAGGGACAUGAGAGAAGCCUCCCACAAGGAUGGUAAAACAUUUGGGUGUCCCCUGGGCAUCGUCCUCGCAGACAGCCAAUUCUCUCACACCAGAAGCGACUUGCAGUUUCUCAAGUCGCUCCUGACACACACAAAAAUAGUAGGAAUGGUACCUGGUCCUGUUUUCAUUUUCUCUAUCAAUCUCUCUACACACUAUCCUGGGUUUUUAAGAUGUCAAUGCUAAACUGGCACAUCUGAUAUCCUGCUUGGUUUCCUGCUUGAUUUUUCCCAGGUGAGAAGCAGCCAAGUGCAGUUUCCUGAGUAAUGCCACUGGCCAGGUCAAAAAAGAAUAUAAGGAAGUCACACAGUAUUUCUUUUGGAACUAAAUGCUUCUUCUCAUGAAAACCACAGGGACUUCUACAAUAUCUGUUAUGGUUGAGCCUUCUGGCUCCGAUACUAGGAGACGGGGUCGUAAGACUCCUCGAGAGUCAGACUCUUUUGAGGAGCACGAAAGGAAACGGCUCCGGGACUUAUUUGCAGAACCAACAGAUGAAGACUCAUUUGAGGGUUUUACCGAGGGAAUGGAGGAAGAGAUGGUUAGCUCAGAGGAGGAUGACAUGGAGUGGACUCGUGUGAGGGAGGAUUUGGGUGUCACCGGCAAUGAUAGCAUGGGAGGCGAUUGGCGGGUUGCAGGAUCAGACCCAUGGACGGGCUGGAGGGAUGGAGCGGGAUCCACAGCUGGGGAUGCUGUGGGGCGUAGUCAAAGGUGUUUUCGCUCUGAUGAGGAUGAUGAUGAUGAGGCACCUGGAAUUAGGAUAGCAGCUGAUAGCGAUGAGGAGUUAUGAACUGGGAUAAAAUGGGGUUUAGGAUCAAUGGCUAAUUGCGUUGGGCAAGGUAAUCUGGACGAACGCUUGGGCUCUUGUUGGGGAACUUCCUGAAGACGGGUGUGAUUCGUUGCUGGAUACCUUGGACCUCCGUCGUCUUUUUGACGGACAUUAAUUACCUACUCUGGAUUGACGCUGGACUGACUGACUACGACCUUGGACUAUCCCUUCUCUGGCUAUCGGUGGAACUUGUGGAACUUUAGACGUCUGCGCUUGGCUUUCGACCUUGGACCGGAUUGGGACCCUGUUGACCGCCGUUACCCUGAUUGAUGUGCCUGGACCUGGAUUUCGCUCGUUGCACGGAGGAGUAAACAGCCUGAGUUACUCAUCUGUAGCUUUUGAGUAGCAGAGAGGAAUCUGCUGCCAGUUUUUUGUGUUCAUUUUGACCUCUGUUUACCAACUUUUGUUUGUUUAAAUUGCCAGGCUGAAGUAAGCACUUUUGAUUUAAUCCGGAUUAAACUCCUGUUUAAUCCGGUUUAUUCUUUCGAACCGUUUUAAUUCAAACGAAGCUGUUUCUGUUACUUUUCACACUGAAGACAAGUGUUUGCCUAGUCCUUUGUUUCCUACGGGCAUUUUUUAGUUCUGUAACCUCAAUAAACUGUGUUGUACUCUA